AUUGAACGCUAGCGGCAUGCUUUACACAUGCAAGUCGAACGAGUGGCGGACGGGUGAGUAAUAUAUCGGAACGUGCCCAGUAGCGGGGGAUAACUACUCGAAAGAGUGGCUAAUACCGCAUACUAUCGGAGCGGCCCAUAUCGGAUUAGCUAGUUGGUGGGGUAAAGGCUCACCAAGGCCACGAUCCGUAGCUGGUUUGAGAGGAUGACCAGCCACACUGGGACUGAGACACGGCCCAGACUCCUACGGGAGGAAGCAGUGGGGAAUAUUGGACAAUGGGGGAAAGCCGGAUGCAGCCAUCCCGCGUGUAUGAGAAGGCCUUCGGGUUGUAAAGUACUUUUGGCAGGGAAGCGGUAUCUGCAGAAGAAGCACCGGCUAACUACGUGCCAGCAGCCGCGGUAAUAC
rnacentral:rRNA from 1 species